GGCUGAGUGCGCCUGCGCUGUACUUUCAUUCGAGGAAGUGGUAGAAGAGGCAACUCAAACGACGUAGAAGAGUUUGUUGCUUAUUCCCUGUUCAGAGAGGACAAAACGGCCCGCAGCCUUUUCAAAAUGUCGGGAUUUGAUAGCAACCCGUUCGCAGAGCCUGCCAACGACAACCCUUUCAAUGACCCUUCGGUCACACAAGUGACCACCUCCAACAUAGAGCCAGUUGACCAGUACAACCCUUUCCCUGCCCAUCCCACAGACAACCUAGCUUCUCGUACCACUCCAGCCUCCACCGCUCCCUACCAGCCUGCUGUGUUACAGCCGUCUACUGAGCCCAGUCCGCAGGCGACUGCUGCUGCAGCUCAGGCCAAUCUGCUGAGGCAGCAGGAAGAGCUGGAGAGAAAAGCUGCCGAGCUGGACCGCAGAGAGCAGGAGAUACAGAGCAGAGGCCCGACAGGUAAAGAGAACAACUGGCCUCCACUUCCCAAGAGCUUCCCAAUCAAACCAUGUUUCUAUCAGGACUUCUCAGAAGAAAUCCCCCCAGAGUCCCAGAGAGUCUGCAAGAUGAUAUACUAUCUCUGGAUGUUUAACUGUGUGACUCUGUUCCUCAACCUGCUGGCCUGUUUGGCCUUCUUCAUCACUGAUGCGUCCUAUGGUGUGGAUUUUGGUCUCUCCAUUCUCUGGCUCAUCCUCUUUGCUCCCUGCUCCUUCCUCUGCUGGUACCGGCCCAUCUACAAGGCCUUCAAGACUGACAGCUCCUUCAGCUUCUUCUUCUUCUUCUUUGUGUUUUUCUGCCAAGUGGUGAUCUUCAUCAUCCAGUCUGUAGGCAUCCCCAAGUGGGGCAACAGACUUUCCAUCCUUCAGCCUCUAGCCUGCUGCCUAUCUGUCUGCUGGUUACUCUCGGUUGGAUCACUGCCUUCACUGCCAUGAGUGUAAACAAAGCAGCGGGAGCCAUCAUGAUGAUAGUGGCCAUCCUCUUCACCAUCUGCGCUGUGCUGUCAGUCGUCCUGCUCAAGAUGGUCCACGGCAUAUACCGCCGGACCGGGGCCAGUUUCCAGAUGGCGCAGCAGGAAUUCUCGCAGGGCGUCUUCACCAGUAGAACCUUCCAAACAGCUGCUGCUGGAGCAGCAUCCUCCGCUGCACAGGGAGCCUUCCAGAGAAACUAACUAAUGGAAGACCGAGCAAAGCUCCAUUUAACAGGUCAUGGUCUAUAUGUUAUCAGGUCUAGAUGAUUCAGUAAAAAAACUUGAGUUUUUGUGACUCUGGAAACUGGUCUUUUGGAGCCGGAGGCUGUAUAAUCUAACCUUAUAAUGUAUGGACCUUGAGCUAGGUGAGGCUAUAUUAUUAGCCUCCCUCCUUUCACCCCAACUAUCAAUGCACAUGUAGUUCCCCAUGUUAACUUUGCUUCUCACAUUCAGCAUGUCUCCUGUAAAGUGACUGCGUCGGCUCUGUUUGUAAAAAGCAGUUGAGGGGAAAGUCACAUCAAGUGCAUUCUGGGGUGGAAAGCAUGAAUGAAGUUGAUUGAUAGCUAUUUCAGUUUGUCCUGGCUUUGUAUAUUUUGUGUGCACUUUUUUGGCAAUGCUCUUCAGUGUAAUAUGUGACCCUAAGUGUGCGUGCGUGCGUGUGCGUGUGUACUGGCAUGCUGAUCACAUGUCUUCAUGUGGGUGCAGUACACUUUUGUUUCUCCACAUCGCUAUUGGACCCUGAUCCUGUAAUUAUAAAUAAGAUUAAGUGUUUCAGCAUUUUUUUUAUGUCUCAAAGGCAUUUCUAAGUUGUUGUGUGCCACAAAAUGUCAGUCUAAUAAGGAAGAAAAGUAACAGAUAAAUCAUACAGUUUAUUGUAAUCUGUCUGGCCUUAGACUUUGGGAUGUUACUGUAACUCUUCAUUCAAAUCUGUGGUUAAUUAUUCAAUAAGAAAAAAUACUCAAACUGACCCCCCAUCACUUUCAGAUUGUAGUACUAUGUUUUUAAAACAUGUGCCUUUGACUUUUGUCUGGAGCCAAACUUUUGCCAAAAUCUUUCUGAAAAACUGUUGUGGUGUCAGAAACUAAGUGGAAAUACUGUAUAUUUAGUUUAUAGUUAUAUUUGAUAUCACAUGAAACGGUUUCUACAUAAAGAUCACAUCCAAGAGGAAAUUAGAGUGUUUUGCUUCAACUAAUGUCAUGCUUGUAAACAGCUAAUUUAAUUUCUACUGUAAUUAAGAAUACAGAGAGUAUAUCAUUUGAUUUCACUUGAGGCCAAAUUAUGACUUAAUACAUAUUAAAGCAUCAGAUAUGUGUUUCUUAUAAAUAUCAUUAUGAAGCAUCUUCACCUUCUUCUUUGAUAACUGCCUUUCAAGAGUUGUUUCUAAGGAAACCAAAGCAUUACUGAUUAUAUAAAAAAAUUGAACAUUUUGCUAAUAAAAUGCAAUAAAGCUAGACUGACAGCAAUUCAAUACAGUUUGGUUUAAUGGGCUGAGCCCAUUCUAUUGAUUUCACGACUAACAGUGAAUGUAAGAGGAGAAACGGUUUAUUUUUCAUGAAGAUUAACGGUGUAGAAAUGUACCCGUAUUCAGCUCUAAUGAGGUUUGACCGGCGAAGCAGGACCUAAAUCAGAUUUCCCUGAUGUGUAUCUGAUUUGAAAUUUCUACUACAGCAGUGUAAUCUUGCCAUAAGUUAACACUCAAGAUCACCAGUAUGCAGCUACGGUAUUGCAUGUUCACCUUUUCUUAUAGAUUGUUUUACUUCUUGAAAGAAUUUCAAGUCUUCCUAGUACCUCUUUAAAACGACCACAAAGCUCUAAAUUAUUUGUGUACCGAUGUAUAUUUUCUAUGUGAUGUCUUGUGUUGGAAAACAUGCUCAUGUGUGUUUUAUUUGAAGUACUGUUUUAAAACAUUAGCUUGGAUGUAACACACGUUAGCAUUCCUGGAAAACCGCUGCAAACUUCGGUCAUCGGUGUGAUGUUCUUGCAACAGACAGCGGCUUAAUUUAAGCUUGCAUUGAUUAUAUAAUACAAGACUUGUAUGAAUUCACACGUUGCUGUAUGCAAUGUUUUGAGAGAACAGAAUCCAGUGCCUUUUGUAUUUCAAUAUUGAAUAUAGCAUCUAUUAAAAUGCUUGGCUUUCAUUCAAAA